ACUAACACAGUGACUCUUCCCUGCCACGUUUGUCAUCCAUGGGUGGACAGCACCUCAAGCAGCUGAAAGUUCGGGAGUGAUCAUUUCCUAUGGUGACAGAAUGGGCACGCGACUCACUGCUGUUUUCUGGAUUGCCCUCUACCCUCCUGCUGGAGUUAUUUGUUGUUCCAAGUAUGAGCCCUCUGGAUUGCCCUUCUGAGACUUUAUAUGUUCUCCUUUCUACAAAACGGGAUGCUGAAUCAUGAUCAGCGCAUUUAUUUCGAGAGACCAAAUCCUGAUCUUAGCAUACACAAAGGGAUUGAGUGUGUUCCUGCUAGAGCUGAUGUGCCAGCCAAAAAGCUGCAAGGGAAGCUAAUAGUUCAUUAAGAGGACAACAGUGAUGUUACUCCAUCCUGGUAAUAAAUAAAACAUUGAAAAGGUACCAUGGAGCAUUUCUGUCACAGAAAUGUCUUCUAGCAGAAGCGUGUUCCAUGUCAAAGUCUGUCACCAGCUUUUCAGAAGUGAAUGACUACAGGAAUGCACAAAUGAUGUCCUAAAAGGCUCACAGUCACCUCCGAUCAUAUCGGUUACAAGAUAUAUGACAUUACUUGUUGGUCAGAGACAUCGUAGGUAUGGUGUCUGCUCAUGGGCUAAUACGUAGAUAAUUUGGCAUGGAUUGUCUGGGGAGCAUGUGAAUUACAUUUUCAGA